CUGGGAUUACAGGCGUGAGCCACUGCACCCGGCCCAAAGUUAACCUUCUGUCGAAUGGUUUAUAUCUGGAAAGGGUGUGGGCCGAAGAUAUGCUCAUGUGGUGUUGAGGAAAGCAGACAUUGACCUCACCAAGAGGGCGGGAGAACUCACUGAGGAUGAGGUGGAACGUGUGAUCACCAUUAUGCAGAAUCCACGCCAGUACAAGAUCCCAGACUGGUUCUUGAACAGACAGAAGGAUGUAAAGGAUGGAAAAUACAGCCAGGUCCUAGCCAAUGGUCUGGACAACAAGCUGCGUGAAGACCUGGAGCGACUGAAGAAGAUUCGGGCCCACAGAGGGCUGCGUCACUUCUGGGGCCUUCGUGUCCGAGGCCAGCACACCAAGACCACUGGCCGCCGUGGCCGCACCGUGGGUGUGUCCAAGAAGAAAUAAGUCUGUAGGCCUUGUCUGUUAAUAAAUAGUUUAUAUACCUAUGG
rnacentral:sRNA from 1 species